GUCUCAGUGGAAGGAGUGGGUGGAGGUGGACCAGGGACACAGCAGUGGACAUUUGGAGUGCAUCUCCUCUUCUUCGGCCACAGUGUGACUAUUCAUCCUGCGAAUCUGCAUGAAGAAAAUACAGUUGAAUUUCUUAUGAGAGUUGGGUGCAAAGGAGGGAGCAGACACAGAAGUUUAUGUAUUACAUAUGGUCAUGGAGACCAUGCAAGCCCUGAAACUGCACACCCUGAAAUCACAAGGGCAGAGGUGAUAUUGGCCUUUAUACAGCUGAAGUUCUGAAGAGGCUCUGCAAUUCAGUGUUACUAAUAGAGGAAAAAUAACAGCUGCCAACCAUGCACAAGAAGGACUGAGAAGCCUGAUGUGACACAUGGCUGUAACAUUGUAUGCAUAUUGUCAAAAUGGCCAUCUAGUUCCAUGAGAGAGCUUCAAGAAGACAUCGGGGAAAAGUCUCAACUUUAGGAUUUGGGGUAAAGAGAAAUAGUGAAAGAUGCUGAACUGUCUGAGGCAAUCCUGUGAUCAAACACCAUACUUCAAAAAAUCACCACGUUAUUCUUUGAAGCUCAGGCUCAUGGUCUUCCAACACAAUUAAUUGGAAUAACAGCACAAAAGAUGACUAAAAGUGAAGAAAAUCCCAGUGGCAAGUGUUAAUGUGAUAAUUAAGCUCACUAAUUAGCAAUGCCUAAGGACCUGAGCUUCAGUUACUCAUUCCGAAGACUGAAAGAUGGGUUUUGAGAGCUACUAGUAUUCUUGUUACUCAGGUCAUGGGUGGGAGUGUGUCUGAGACACUAAGAGUUGUAUCUCAUGGUUGGCCUUGGCUUAUCCACAGUAGUGUCAACUUGACAGAAUCUAGACUCACCUGGAAAAUAGGUCUUCAUGAGAGACCAUCUAUGUAAGAUUGGCUCAUGCACAUGUUUGGGGAGUGUCUCCAUUGUCUUAACUGAAGUAGGAAGACCCAACCUGAAAGUGUGUGUGUGUGUGGGGGGGUUACCAUUCUGUAGUUUGGGACUCUGGGCUGUAUAAGCAUAUAGAAAGGUAGCUGAACACCAGGUGUGCAUAUAUGCAUUCCUACUUCCCGAGUGUAGAUGCAACCUGAGCAGCCAGCUUCCUGCUUCUGCCUACAUGCUUCAUGCCUUGCCCCCGACCUGUUGUCAAGUCUUUCCCAAUGUGGUGGAUUGGAACUAUAAGCCCAGAUCAACCCGUUCCUCCUUACAUUGUUUUUGUUAGGGUAUUUUAUCCCAGCAAUGAGAAAUAAACCAGCAGUCCCCUUAGUGGCCCCUGGCGUAGGUAGCAGUCUCUCCAGGGCUGCAUGUUAGCAUCUUAAGUUACCUGUGGAUAGAAGUGGAAAGUGUGACAGCUUUAGAAAGGAGAUCAGCAAGCCUUUCUCAUAAGGCUCCAUACACAUAGCAACUGCUCUAGCUGACUCCAUAGUGACUCUAAUGCUCCACAGCACCGUGAAACUUGCAGUCCUCAUGUGUCAGCCCAUGGGCUGAGUGGUUCCUGUAAUAUUUACAUACACAGGCAGAGGUCUUACUUUGAUAACCUGGGUCCACAUGGAUGACUGAUACUGAGAACUUAAGAUGUAAUCUCGAUAGUGUCCAUAUGUAAAUGUACCCAAUCCUUUCACAAUCCUCAGAGAAAAUGUAUUCAUAUAUACUGACUAGCCACCAAUGGUUAUCAUUUGAUUAAUGGUGAAGUCAAUAUUUAAGCCUAGGUAAAACACCUACUGUCAGAGCUCUGCAAGACUGUCUAUCUUCUGAGUCUCUCUCUCUCUCUUUCUCUCUCUCUUUCUCUCUCUCUCUCUUUCUCUCUCUCUUUCUCUCUGUGUGUGUGUGUGUCUGUCUGUCUGUCUGCCUCUCUCCCUCUCCCUCUCCCUACAUCUCUUUCACAUACACCCACCUACAGAGGAUGCUCUGAUCAUAACCCUGUGUCUUAUUUGUUUUCCACAGAUAUUAGAAGACCUUUGUCUUCUUUGGGGCAUCAAGCAACAAGUGCAAUAACUUGUUUCUAAUACAUCUCCCCACUUUGGCAAGAGAGCCAUCAUCAGUAUUUACUCUGUACCAGACACUAAGCUGGGUAAUAUCUAUUGUUUAAAAUAUCCAGUGUGCACUAGCCUCACUGGGCCUUCCAAAACUUCAGGUUUUCAAGCAAGGACCAGGAUCAAAGUGCAGCUCAUGGGACACUUUCAAAGUCACAUUCUUAGUAAGCCAUAGAGGUAGAGCUCCAGUCCUAGGCAGAUGCCUCUGGGCUGUGUGUUUUCCUAGACUGCCCUCUGCAGAGCGUGCCAGAGAGGAGACUAGUGGAGCUGUGCUCUGGUCAGUGAGAACUGUUAGCAUUUUUUUUCUAUCUAAUAACUUCAUGCUUCAAUCCAAUUACUUUGGCAUCAUUAGGAUUGUGACUGCUGUUUUUAUUGGUGCCACCCAGUGCCAAUUACUUCUGUCGGUGAUAUCCGUGUCACCCAGGGAAGCCUUGCAGGCUGUGCUGCUGCUGGGGACAAGCCGUACUUCCCUGUGGACCUCAGUAGUUGCCAUAAGAAAAAUUACAAGGUGAUAAAAUGCCUUUGAGGUUUUAGUUUUCGGAGCUUUUUUAGAAUUAGAAUUAAUUCAUUGAGCAAGUCUGAACACAUAUGCACACAUGUGUACACAAACACAGAAGUACACACAGAUGCACACAAUUUGCAUAUAUGCACACUCAUGUAUACAUAGGCAAACAUGAAUACAUGCCUACGCUCGAAUACACACAUGCACACAUACAUGCACACAAACACAUGCAUACUGUCAUGGUGACUUUGCCAAAGUGCCAAAGAGUAGGAUUCUGACAAAAUAAGUCUGAAUGCAAUUGUUAUUUCAAUGAGAAAGGGUUAGAAUCAAUUCUGUGAACACAUAGGCUGAUCAAGGCAACAACAUAGCUGUCCCCUUAUCCUCACUUCUGACCAAAAGGGUGGAGCAUGGCAAAAAUGGCCAAAAUGCCAAUAAAGGAGAAUCAGGGUGUGGCCAGAUACAAUGAAUGACCCUGUUAUAGGGCACCAGCAGGAAUUCUAAGGCUGGUCCCCGCAGUCAGGAGAUGUGGGCUGAGUAUCCUGACACUAUGCAGGCAUGUACACCUGUAUUGUGCUUCCUGUUUCAGUCAUAAGCCCCUUUCACCUUACAACAAAUCCUGUAUCACGUUAUAUCACCAUAAGGGAAACUGAGGUCUAGAAAAGUAGAGUGACUUCUCUUUCUUACUACACCUUAGAUUAAAUUCUAGGUCCAUAGUUUGAGUAUGUUUGGACAGCAACUUUUGUUGUUGUUAACUUUUUAUUUGAUCUGAUUUGGUUUCUAUAAAAUGUUAUUGGUGUAAAUAAAGGUAGAACCAGAUGACCUGGC